AGAAAACCAUUAAGAAUUUAUUAUAAUAAGUGGAAUUAAGGAAAAUUAGAAAAGAAAAAGAAAUCUACAAUCCCUCUCUCCGAACAAGUGUUAUCACCCUCUCUCUCCCUAAUCAUCGCUCUCUUUGUCUCUAAUAUUUCCUAUGAAGAACUCUUCUCUCCAUCGCCUCCCUCUCUUCCUCUCUUCUACCUUACAUAAGUCUAUCAUUAAAUUAGAAAUCAAAAAAUAAACAAACAUCGGUCAUCCCUCAAUAACAAGUGAACAUAACCUCGAUUCGAAAUUUGGACAGCGAUUUUAAUCGACCAAACAAAAUCCAGCAGUGAAGAUGAUGAGAAAGUGUACCAAUUUGAAGCUUUCGUCUAUCCAGAUCCUGAUGAUCUUUCACGCGGUUCUUUACGCGAUUCACGGUCGUGGGUGCUCACCGAGGGGUUCAGUCCGACUACCUCAGAGUUUCGUCGAGAAACUUUGAAUAGUUUUUGUGACAUAGACUUUGAGGAAUUCAGGUAAGGCUUUUCGGCAGAGUAACAAUAGGGGUCUCCCUCUCUAAAUGACUCCCAACACUUAUUUAUAGAGCCUUCUCCUCGAAUCCUCGAAUCAUGAGUUGUCAAAUCUUAUCAAAAUCAUUCCGUUAAGGGGGAAUUUUUGCUGGAUUUCGUGGGGACCAAAGGUGUGGUUUUCUGUCCUGUCAACUGAUAUGACAGAGAGGCUUCUAUUCAUAAUUCCAAGAGUUUGUAAUUUCUCCUGGUUACCUUGGCUACGUGAUGUUACUGUGCUUGUAACGAGCUGCUGCGCCACUCAUGUUGGUCUGAUGGAUAAAAGUGCCUCCAGGAUACUGUCAUGGAUACUGGGGUGAAUGGUUGAUGAAGAGUGUGCACCAACUUGGUUGUGAUUGAAUGGUGACCUCAUGGUCUUUGGAUGCCCAUAUCCAAUCCCAGCAGGUGUUAAUUGUGCAGUCCAAGCUCCUGAUUAUAUUGCCUUGACAUAUGUUGCGGAAGAGGCGGUGGCUUUUUACACUAGCAACUCCAAUUUUGUUGGUUGUUUUGCUCAGGUUGGACAUGUUCUAUUUGUAUUCGGAAUUUGGUCUGCAGUUAUGAUUUUGAAAAAUUCCGUUUUGGUUGCAGGUUCUAUAUCGGUUGUGAUUUACCAUUUCAGAACAAUCUGUAAGGUUCUUUUAAAACUUGUAGCUUUCCAUAUGCUUCUUCGCACUUUUAUCCUGGCGCAUCUGUAUUCCGAUUCACAUUAUCGGUGUAGCGCUGCUAGCUCUUGGAUCUAUAUGUCACCGCUUGAUAUGGGGGAGAAUCUUAUACUGUCUUGUGGAAACUAAUGCAAGGAAUGGCCUGAGAAACUGAUGUGGCCAGCGGAUGCAUACCUUUAGUUUUUAAUUCUUUCACUUGGCUUGACUGUAAUGUAACUUAAGUCACAGGGUUGUUAUGAACGGUC